UGUUAUAUCUACAGCAACUGGAUAACUACGAAUCCUGGAUGAAAGACUGCGGCAGAUCUCUACAAAGAGAGAAGCAGAUUUAAUAAUCUGGAACGAGUGAGACACGACUGACACUGGACCCAGAAUGGAUAGCUCAGGGGAGGAAGAGGAGUUCUUUGACACCAACGAUACGUUCCCUGAGCGUUACAGUGAGGAGAAGGAUCCCUCAACAACACAGUCCAACUAUGUUUCUCCACCAGAAGAAGUAACACCUCUCUAUUCAGGCACGAGGACUGUUUCAGAUCCCUGCAGUGACCCACUCAGAGGCAGUGGGAUCAUGGAGGACUCCAGCACUGUAGAUGUUCAGGGCAGAAAUGGAACAAGAAACACGCCAAUUGAAACAUCUGCCA